rnacentral:rRNA from 1 species
GGAAUCUCGGACAAUGGGGGAAACCCUGAUCCAGCCAUGCCGCGUGUGUGAAGAAGGCCUUUUGGUUGUAAAGCACUUUAAGCAGGGAGGAGAGGCUAAUGGUUAAUACCCAUUAGAUUAGACGUUACCUGCAGAAUAAGCACCGGCUAACUCUGUGCCAGCAGCCGCGGUAAUACAGAGGGUGCGAGCGUUAAUCGGAAUUACUGGGCGUAAAGCGAGUGUAGGUGGCUCAUUAAGUCACAUGUGAAAUCCCCGGGCUUAACCUGGGAACUGCAUGUGAUACUGGUGGUGCUAGAAUAUGUGAGAGGGAAGUAGAAUUCCAGGUGUAGCGGUGAAAUGCGUAGAGAUCUGGAGGAAUACCGAUGGCGAAGGCAGCUUCCUGGCAUAAUAUUGACACUGAGAUUCGAAAGCGUGGGUAGCAAACAGGAUUAGAUACCCUGGUAGUCCACGCCGUAAACGAUGUCUACUAGCCGUUGGGGUCCUUGAGACUUUAGUGGCGCAGUUAACGCGAUAAGUAGACCGCCUGGGGAGUACGGCCGCAAGG